UACGAAGGGUGCAAGCGUUACUCGGAAUUACUGGGCGUAAAGCGUGCGUAGGUGGUGAGUUAAGUCUGUCGUGAAAGCCCCGGGCUCAACCUGGGAAUGGCGAUGGAUACUGGCUCGCUAGAGUGCGGUAGAGGAGAGUGGAAUUCCCGGCGUAGCAGUGAAAUGCGUAGAGAUCGGGAGGAACAUCAGUGGCGAAGGCGGCCAUCUGGAUCAACACUGACGCUGAGGCACGAAAGCGUGGGGAGCAAACAGG
rnacentral:rRNA from 1 species